rnacentral:rRNA from 1 species
UACAGAGGGUGCGAGCGUUAAUCGGAAUUACUGGGCGUAAAGCGCGCGUAGGCGGCUUUGCAAGUCGGGUGUGAAAUCCCCAGGCUUAACCUGGGAACUGCAUUCGAGACUGCAUUGCUAGAGUAUGGGAGAGGGAAGUGGACUUUCCGGUGUAGCGGUGAAAUGCGUAGAUAUCGAGAGGAACACCGGUGGCGAAGGCGGCCUCCUGGACAGCAACUGACGCUGAGACGCGAAAGCGUGGGGAGCAAACAGG